GGGUCUACUCAUUGGUCAGGCUAAAUUGUCUGUACUGGUGAGAUGGAUCUCUACCUUCUGAGGAACUUUCAUGCCAUUUAUUUGGUGUGGUUGGAAACCAGGACUGUUACUUUGAAAAAAUUAGAGUGUUUAAAGCAAACUAUCGUCUGAAUAUAUUAGCAUGGAAUAAUGAAAUAGGACGGACUGAUUCUAUUUCGUUGGUUUCUAGGAUCACCGUA
rnacentral:rRNA from 1 species